AUUGGCUCCCAUACGAUCAUCGAAGUUAAACAAAGUCAAGCCUGAUCAGUACUUAGAAGGGUGACCGCUUGUGCAUACUAGGUGCUGUAA